AGAAUCAACGCUGGCGGCGCGCUUAACACAUGCAAGUCGCACGAGAAAGUGGAGCAAUCCAUGAGUAAAGUGGCGUACGGGUGAGUAAUACGUGGAUCAUCUACCUUUUAGUGGGGAAUACCCCCUGGGAAACCGGGGAUAAUACCGCAUAAGCUCGUGAGAGGAAAGCCGAAAGGCGCUGAAAGAGGAGUCCGCGGCUGAUUAGCUAGUUGGUGAGGUAACGCCCACAAGGCGAAGAUCGGUA
rnacentral:rRNA from 1 species